rnacentral:pre_miRNA from 1 species
GUAGACUGCCGACCUAUCUUUCUGUAUAUAUAUAUAUAUAUAUAUAUAUAUAUAUAUAUAUAUACAGAAAGAUGGGUCGGCAGUCUAC